ACUGAACGCUGGCGGCAUGCCUUACACAUGCAAGUCGAACGGCAGCAUGGAGAGCUUGCUCUCUGAUGGCGAGUGGCGAACGGGUGAGUAAAGCAUCGGAACGUACCGUGUAGUGGGGGAUAACGUAGCGAAAGUUACGCUAAUACCGCAUACGCACUGAGGUGGAAAGCAGGGGAUCGUAAGACCUUGCGCUAUACGAGCGGCCGAUGUCAGAUUAGCUAGUUGGUAGGGUAAAGGCCUACCAAGGCGACGAUCUGUAGCGGGUCUGAGAGGAUGAUCCGCCACACUGGGACUGAGACACGGCCCAGACUCCUACGGGAGGCAGCUGUGGGGUAUUUUGGACAAUGGGGGCAACCCUGAUCCAGCCAUGCCGCGUGAGUGAAGAAGGCCUUCGGGUUGUAAAGCUCUUUCGGCCGGGAAGAAAUCGCACAGGCUAAUACCCUGUGUGGAUGACGGUACCGGCAUAAGAAGCACCGGCUAACUACGUGCCAGCCGCCGCGGUAA
rnacentral:rRNA from 1 species